CUGCUGGAUGGUGGGGAAGAACUAAGACUGUUUUUUGGAGUUUCCAUGUUUACACUUUCCUACAUGCCAGAGGAUGUGACUGGGACUCAGGUGGAACUAGAGGAUUUGCAUCUUGAAGCAGCAUUGCUUCUCAGUGUGUCCUCCUGGGACAGGGCUGAAAGCUACAUUAUUGGAGAGCUGCAUCCUGUGUGACCAGAGCUAACACUGUGAAUCCAAGUGAAGACUACCUGCUGCCAGGUGCAACUCCAGGAUCCAAAGCUUCUGGACACAGCCUCGAACUCACC